rnacentral:lncRNA from 1 species
AUGCUCAUCUUCUACUAAGAUUUCUUUCAGGUGGUUUUAGCUUAUCCGGAUGAAUACAUCUACAAGAUUUCAGGGCGCACUGGACCAAAUCCAUGGACUUCUAAUGGCUUGAGUAGGCUUUACUUGCACGUCAACAAUAGAAGGACCAAUGCCCAAACUACCUUUGGCCCAUUUGGUACCUACGACUACUCCAAUCAGACUACAUUUGAUUCCCCAGAAGGGACAGUGGUUGGAUUUUUUGGUUAUGCCUCUUCAACAACAUACUUCCGAGGAAUUGGCGUCUAUUUCCAAGAUCCUUGUGACUGUCCAACACCAUCACCACCGCCUUCUCCACCUCCACCACCGCCAUCACCACCGCCUUCUCCACCUCCACCACCGCCAUCACCACCGCCUUCUCCACCUCCACCACCGCCCCCAAGACCCUGCAAAGGCUAUCAAUGGUGCCCAGCUGGUAGUAGUUGUUGUUGUGUGGACCGUGCAUGUAAUAAGCACACAUGCUGCAUAUCAUCAACUCAAGGGUGCAAUCCCUUGGGCUAUUGUGAAGCUCUUCCACCCCCAUCACCAUUACCAUUCCUCCAGCCAUAUCGCCACCACCACCACUGCCAUCGCCACCACCUCCAAUCUCCUCCGCCACCACCACCAACACCAUACCCACCACCUCCAUCUCCUCCGCCACCACCACCACCACCAUCCCCACCACCUCCAUCUCCUCUGCCACCACCACCACCACCAUCCCCACCACCUCCAUCUCCUCCGCCACCACCACCACCACCAUCCCCACCACCUCCAUCUCCUCCGCCACCACCACCACCACCAUCCCCACCACCUCCAUCUCCUCCGCCACCACCACCACCACCAUCCCCACCACCUCCAUCUCCUCCACCACCAUCACCACCACCACCUCCAUCUCCUCCGCCACCAUCAACACCAUCACCGCCACCACCAGCCCCACCACCUCCGUCUCCAGCACCACCUUCACCACGGCCACAACCGCCAUUGGGAAGAUGUAAACGCUUUGAUAGGUAUUGCCAAAGUAGGUAUGGGCGGAAGUUUUGUUGCUGCGUGCCAAAUAGCGCUGGAAACUGUGGAUCCACCCGGACCUGCUGCUGUGAUUCUUGUAACCCACGGAAGAAUUGUGUCCAGUGUUGGGCUUAGAGGAUGUAAUCAGAAAAUAUUAUGAACUUAAUAUGAAUUUAUUAUAAAAUAAAUAUAAAUAAUAAUUCCAAAAAUAGACUGAAA